rnacentral:rRNA from 1 species
CCUACGGGAGGCAGCAGUGGGGGAUCUUGGACAAUGGGGGGAACCCUGAUCCAGCGACGCCGCGUGAGUGAAGAAGUAUUUCGGUAUGUAAAGCUCUGUCAGCAGGGAAGAAAGAAAUGACGGUACCUGAACAAGAAGCCCCGGCUAACUACGUGCCAGCAGCCGCGGUAAUACGUAGGGGGCAAGCGUUAUCCGGAAUUACUGGGUGUAAAGGGAGCGUAGACGGUUAAGUAAGUCUGGAGUGAAAGGCCGGGGCCCACCCCCGGGACUGCUCUGGAAACUAUUGAACUUGAGUGCAGGAGAGGUAAGCGGAAUUUCUAGUGUAGCGGUGAAAUGCGUAGAUAUUAGGAGGAACACCAGUGGCGAAGGCGGCUUACUGGACUGUAACUGACGUUGAGGCUCGAAAGCGUGGGGAGCAAACAGGAUUAGAUACCCUUGUAGUC